AGUGAACGCUGGCGGUAGGCCUAACACAUGCAAGUCGAACGGCAGCACAGUAAGAGCUUGCUCUUACGGGUGGCGAGUGGCGGACGGGGGAGGAAUACAUCGGAAUCUACUUUUUCGUGGGGGAUAACGGAGGGAAACUUACGCUAAUACCGCAUACGACCUACGGGGGAAAGCAGGGGAUCUUCGGACCUUGGGCGAUUGAAUGGGACGAUGUCGGAUUAGCUAGUUGGCGGGGUAAAGGCCCACAAAGGCGACGAUCCGUAGCUGGUCUGAGAGGAUGAUCAGCCACACUGGAACUGAGACACGGUCCAGACUCCUACGGCAGGCAGCAGUGGGGAAUAUUGGACAAUGGGCGCAAGCCUGAUCCAGCCAUACCGCGUGGGUGAAGAAGGCCUUCGGGUUGUAAAGCCCUUUUGUUGGGAAAGAAAAGCAGCAGGUUAAUACCCCGCUGUUCUGACGGUACCCAAAGAAUAAGCACCGGCUAACUUCGUG
rnacentral:rRNA from 1 species